rnacentral:rRNA from 1 species
UACGAAGGGGGCUAGCGUUGCUCGGAAUUACUGGGCGUAAAGCGCACGUAGGCGGUCUUUUAAGUCGGGGGUGAAAUCCUGGAGCUCAACUCCAGAACUGCCUUCGAUACUGGAAGACUCGAGUCCGGGAGAGGUGAGUGGAACUGCGAGUUGUAGAGGUGAAAUUCGUAGAUAUUCGCAAGAACACCAGUGGCGAAGGCGGCUCACUGGCCCGGUACUGACGCUGAGGUGCGAAAGCGUGGGGAGCAAACAGGG